CAGGAGAGACCUCAUCGUUGUGGAUCGUCGUCACUAACUGACGACGUUCGUCACUGAGUAGAUUCGGAAAUGGCGGAUUGGAGAUGAUUUGGUGAAUAUUUUUAUUUUUUAUGUUUUUUAAUACGAAUUCACGUUUUUUUCCCCUGAUGGGAUGUUUUUUUUGUACGAAGUGUCCUUUGGCACAUUUCCCCAUGCCAAUUUGUGUGCCCCAAUCACACGAUUCACCCGAUUCUCGUUUCUUCGUGCUCCAUCCACCAUUGCGACAACAUUCGGCCUCUCGAUCACAGGGAAACACCCUCACAUCUUUGACAUUAAUCACGUCUUCCGAGAGGUUUAGUUUCUGUGUCCGGAACGCUUUUCUCAUGCAUUGUAAUGAAAAUUCGCCCAGUUCAUCGUGCUUUUGAAGUUGAAGAAACUAGUUGAGCUGUAUAAACCAUGAACGAGCUUCUAUAAUCAAAAGUGUGGCACUGUAUACUUAUAAUUCUGAUUCGUUCUGGUGGUGUGGAAGGGUCUGUUUAGUAGAAGGAUUGUCUCGGCUGAGGCGAGAGUUUGAUAUAUAUAUUUUGUUUGUUAGGCAGGUAGUCAAUAUUUCCUACAAUAAUGAACUCCUGACGUCAGGGAGAUGAUAUGCGGCAGAAGUUAAUUGGGAUUGUACUCGUUGGAUUCAUUAAAUAGGUAGUGGACCUGGACGAUAUUUUAGCAGAUUGCAAUGCCUCCGAAGUUGGGUACAUAGCCUAAGCUUAAAAGAGUGAGGAUUCCACAAGCUUGUCAGAGACGCCCUGCUUCUGAUGUGUGCGAGUUUAGAUGAGUCUAGCGAAUGUUUUCCUCGCUGAUUGCUUCAAGCCAAGAUCAUUUUCUUCAAGGUUCAUUAAUUCUGCCAGUAGCUCUACACAACAGAAUUGAAUCGUAGGAAGAGGACCUUUGCAGAAGCUACUGCCAACCUUUUUUACUUGUUAUCAAAGUUCAAAUGUUAGAGCAAGAAUUCAAUCACAUGUCCAGCUAUUUCAAGGAUUUUUUUUCGUCAGGAUUCACUCGUAAUUCAAAACCUGUUUGAAGACUCCGUGGACGAUCUUGAGAGGGAGGUUUACACUUCCUUGUAACUGAUCGAAAAGGCCGCUUCAGCUGAACUAUGGGGUGAGCAUUUCCAAUUCUGCGCGUUGUCCAGCCGGACCGUUGUGUACAAAGCAAUGUUGCGGUCUGAAGUGGUUGGUCUGAAGUUCUACGAUGACCUUCGCAACGAGGACUUGACGACUCCAUUUACCGAUAUAACAUCGUCGGUUAAGUACCGACACCACACCUAAGUGGCCUCUUGCACAACCAAUGAGAUUCGUGGGUCACAACGUGGAGAUCCAUACAUGGCAGAGUAUUUGAAUUGGAUGUGAUCGCGUGGGGCCACUCUGGAGUCUCCAACUUGACGAGGUCGUGAUGACGAGCUGCGCCCAUUUUGAAACAUUCUGGCUCCAGAUUCUGCAGAUGUGGAUAUGGUUGCAGAGAUACUGCUACUUUCGUAACCAUUGAUUUUUUUUCUGGUGGCUUAUUUUUGUGAAGUUAUCAGCCAAGAAGCUUGAUAAAUUCGGUUUCAUUCAGUUUCUACCCGGAGACCAAAGACAGUGCUCAUUAUCAAGAAGAAUUUACCUUUUCUAAAUUUGGACCUGAAUAGUGACUGGUUUCAACUGUUCGUUGAUGAAUCAGGUCUUGCGAGACCUUGUUGAGUUUGCAAGUAAUAGACAGCCGAUUUCUUUUAGGAAGUUGAGAAUGCAUCGAAUAUGAUAGAGCGUUUCGUGAAAGGUGGUGUAUGUCCCUUGGGCUAUUACUCGUGAGACCCAUGAAGUUAUUGCCGUAACCAUGAACAGAAUAGGUGGAAAAUCUAUUUCUGGAAAUCAAUGGUGAAGAAAGAUAUAAAAAUUAUGAUUACACCUCGGCAGUAUGAUCUCAGUACAAUUCAUGAACUUAUGGAGGGAUUAAACAAAAGAUCUUUACUCGUGACGGAUUGCAUUGGGUCUAUUCGGUGUUAACCAAAGAGCAACUCGAAAUCAAGAUUGCUUAAGGUGCAAAGCAAAAGUUUCAGCGAAUUUCGUUGCCGGAGCUGGAAUUGGAACAGUUGCCCGUGGAGUUGGAAAGGUCAAUCCCGAGGUCGUCCAUGGCUCAGUCUUGCAAAGACUCUGAUUUAACUGUGCAGAGUACGGCGGGUGGAAAAAUUGUUAUUAUACCAGCUGAGGGUUGCGGUUUCAAUGCUGAGGAUGCCAUUUUGUAGCAAACACAUGUUUGUAUGGAGCCACAGGAGGCCAGUUGUUUGCGAAUAAGAAAGCUGGUGAAUGGUUUGCAGCCCGUAACUUACAAGCUGAAGCUUUAAUCGAAGUAACAGGAGAUCAUGCUUGUGAAUACAUGACCAGUGGUUGUGUGGUGGAUAUCGGCAAGUGCUUCAUUUCAGAAAAUUCGUGUGUUAACAACGUCAAAUGCUACUACUCAUUGAGGUCGCAUAUGAAGAGAAGAGAUCAUAUCUUCGAACGUGUAUGUUGUGUUUACAAGGUGCGUCGCAAUGUUGCUGCUUGUUUGACUGAAGGUCUUGGGUACUUUUCCCUGGAUGAGGAUAACAGUUUUAUAUAUAUUAUGCAUUAGCUUCACCACGAUUGCACGUGCGCAUGAAGGCACUGAAUUUGCGUGCAUGUGAUGUCUUCCAUAGAAGUCCUUGGCUAGUUAAUGUGGAUUGAAUCCCGAACAUUUGACACUCUUAUCUCCAAGGUCAAUACGUAAGGAACUUUUUGUGAUAUUCGGAUGCUUUAGGAUGAGACUGUCAGCGAAGAAAGCUAAAGAGAUUCUGGCUAACUUGGAGAAGUCCCUUCUCCUCUUUUUUUCUGGCAACUGGUGCCACCAAGCGAGGAAGAGACUCCCGAAAUCAAUGCCAAUAUGGUAGAUUAAAACAUAGAAAGUAUUGUGACCCAAUUGGCUUAAAACAGUCACACCUCUGGCAUCUGUGCUUGCAGCUACUUACUAACCAUAGCCACCUGGUUAACUGAAAUCGGUACAUGGGUAUGAUAAAUGUUGGUGUAAUUACAUUGCAUCAAAACAUUAUUUUAAAUUAAGAAUGGAAGGGGAGCGGUGGUCAUGAUUUGAAGUGGUGAAAAGAAAAAAUAAGAUAGAGAAUGCUUUAUGCUCACUCGUUGAUAUCAAAGGUGAUGUCGGCGUCAUGGGGAUGUAGCUCAGAUGGUAGAGCGCUCGCUUAGCAUGCGAGAGGUAUGGGGAUCAAUACCCCACUUCUCCAGCACAUAAAUCUUAAUCGUUACUAUUAGCUAACGAUCUAACAUUACCCUGAAAAUCUUGAUGUUAGUUGGAGUUUUUCAUUUAUCUAGCUUAAACCAAUUUU